rnacentral:rRNA from 1 species
UACGGAGGUGGCAAGCGUUGCUCGGAAUCAUUGGGCGUAAAGAGCGUGUAGGCGGUCCGGUAAGUCCGCUGUGAAAGUCGGGGGCUCAACCCUCGAAUGCCGGUGGAUACUGUCGGGCUAGAGUGCGGAAGAGGCGAGUGGAAUUCCGGGUGUAGUGGUGAAAUGCGUAGAGAUCCGGAGGAACACCAGUGGCGAAGGCGGCCCCCUGGGCCGCGGCCUG